AGAGUUUGAUCCUGGCUCAGAUUGAACGCUGGCGGCAGGCCUAACACAUGCAAGUCGAGCGGUAACAGGAAUUAGCUUGCUAAUUUGCUGGCGAGCGGCGGACGGGUGAGUAAUGCCUGGGAAUAUGCCUUAGUGUGGGGGAUAACUAUUGGAAACGAUAGCUAAUACCGCAUAUCGUCUUUGUUCAUUACGAGCGGGACCAAAGAGGGGGACCUUCGGGCCUCUCGCGCUAAGAUUAGCCCAGGUGGGAUUAGCUAGUUGGUGAGGUAAAGGCUCACCAAGGCAACGAUCCCUAGCUGGUCUGAGAGGAUGAUCAGCCACACUGGAACUGAGACACGGUCCAGACUCCUACGGGAGGCAGCAGUGGGGAAUAUUGCACAAUGGGGGAAACCCUGAUGCAGCCAUGCCGCGUGUAUGAAGAAGGCCUUCGGGUUGUAAAGUACUUUCAGUCGUGAGGAAGGGUGUGUAGUUAAUAGCUGCAUACCUUGACGUUAGCGACAGAAGAAGCACCGGCUAACUCCGUGCCAGCAGCCGCGGUAAUACGGAGGGUGCGAGCGUUAAUCGGAAUUACUGGGCGUAAAGCGCAUGCAGGCGGUCUGUUAAGCAAGAUGUGAAAGCCCGGGGCUCAACCUCGGAACCGCAUUUUGAACUGGCAGACUAGAGUCUUGUAGAGGGGGGUAGAAUUUCACGUGUAGCGGUGAAAUGCGUAGAGAUCUGA
rnacentral:rRNA from 1 species